rnacentral:SRP_RNA from 1 species
GCCAGGCAUGGAGGUGCAUGCCUGUAUUCCCAGCUACUUGGGAGGCUGAGGCAGGGGGAUCACUUGAGCCCAGGAAGACAAGACUGCAGUGAGCCGUGAUGGUGCCACUGCACACCAGCCUGGGUGACAGAGUGAGACCCUGUUUCAG